rnacentral:rRNA from 1 species
UACGUAGGUGGCAAGCGUUGUCCGGAUUUAUUGGGUUUAAAGGGGGCGUGGGUGGCCCUGUAAGUCAGUGGUGAAAUAUCUCAGCUUAACUGAGAGGGUGCCAUUGAUACUGCAGGGCUUGAGUACAGAUGAGGUAGGCGGAAUUGACGGUGUAGCGGUGAAAUGCAUAGAUAUCGUCAAGAACACCGAUAGCGAAGGCAGCUUACCAAGCUGUAACUGACACUGAGGCACGAAAGUGUGGGGAUCAAACAGG